GCGGGUGUAACUCAGUGGUAGAGUGCCACGUUGCCAACGUGGUUGUCGUGGGUUCAAGUCCCAUCACCCGCU
rnacentral:tRNA from 1 species